UUCUCAAACGUCUUUCGAGCAUCUUGGCGAGUGGCUGUAGUUUGAAGAGAUUUAAUAUCUUAAAAAUGGAGAGCAAAGAAAUGAGAGUACUUAAGAUUAAAAUUAAAAUUACCGCUAAAGUCAAAAUAACAGCUAAGAAAUCUGACACCCAUUUAGAAAAAAAUGAGGCCGUAGAAAAGAACAGCAGCGAGAAGGUGGAGAACGUCAGCACUGGCUAACGAUGUGAUCAAGAAGACGGAUGAGACGGACAAGCCGUGUUCUACUCUUUCGGUGAGUGUUACGGGACUGAAUUAAGGGAAAAUGUACUUUGUGCUAUGGCGGAAUAUAAAAAGAAAGGGAAAAAAAGCAAUGCUUUAGUUUGCCGAUUGAGAUUAUGUAAACCUUGGAUGUUAUAAUGUGUCAUCGAUAUGUAAAUGUUGCUGCAAUGUGAUUUCGUUAUGUGUAAACGGGGAAAAGGGAUAUGUUUUAUUUUUCUACUGCGCCAUAUUCCCUUCCCAUAUUUUCCUUUUAUAUGUUCGUAGCCCAGGUUAAUACUGUGUGAUAGUGUGUGAAGCCCUGAAACCAAAUUAUAUCGAGGAUAUUGUGGUUAUGACAUAAUUGAUAAAACUAUAUGUAUGGUUUAAUGAUUAUGCAAUCUGCGACGUGCCGGUUGGUUUUUUUAUGAUUGCUGAAAUCCUGUUCGACAUCAGUGGACGUUUACUCAGAGAGGAGUACGGUCACACGCACCUUGCCAGGAUCUGCACCGGAGCCGAGCGCCCUCCGUUAAAUUUCAGAUAAGAAAAGAAAAAGAACAGUCGGAGGAAAGCUUUGCUGACUGAUCGCGGUAAAGUUGGUUUUAUGUUCGAUUUUCGCUACAGUUACUGUCAUCUAAACUGCAAUAUCUUCGGGAUCAUGACGGUAAUUCUUUUCAGAUUAGGCUCCACAUGUGAAGUUAAACUAGAAGAAUAUUUCACACUUUUACUUAGCUCCACAUUCUCCAGCAAUAUGAAUUAAAAAUAUAAAUCGAGACGGGAUCGAAUAUCCUUCUGCUCACCCAGAACUGCCCGAAAACUUAGAGACUGUCUUGAAAGUGCAAUGCCAAUCACCACAACACCACUAGUGCAGUCAAGUGGAGCGUAAUCUGAAAAUUAUUACCGUUAUGAUCCCGAAGAUAUUGCAGUUUAGAUGUCAGUAAAUGUAGCGAAUAUCGAACAUAAAACCAACUUCACCGCGGUGCGGACUGACUGGACUGAAAUGACUGACAAUAUAGCAAUGUUGUUCUUUUAAAUAUUUCUUUGACUAAGUUUUGCCUGCUCAUGAGCAAGGUUAUCUUUUGUGGGGUGAAAGUAUUUGUUUGAUAUUAUUUGUUAUAACUAUUUGGUUUGCCCUGGUAUUGUUUUAUUUGAGAGGUCUGUAAUAAUACGUAUAUAUUUUAUUCUUUCUUUUUGGUGGAUACGGAAACCCAGACUAGAAUGGAAAGCGGUUUAGAAAUGAUUAUACAGAGAUGGAACCAGUCUGAUCCUUUGAGAGGAGAUAGUUUAUUGUUAUACUAUUAAUUACAUAAAAGGUUACAGGUCAAAAUAAAUAAGAUAAGGAAAUAAAUAGCAAUCAUCCUCCUCCCGAGCCUAGAAAGAAUGGUUACAUAUUGCAAAGCUCUUGUUUUAUCUUAUCUCAACCUGUGUUAUCCUAUUUUAUUUUAGGAUAGGUUUGGUGAAGACAGAAUAGGAUGAGAUAGGAUAGGAAUGGCUAACAUAAGAGUGUAACCGGUGAGUGACGUGGACUAUGUCACUCACAGGUCACGUGUUGGGCUGCGGUAUACGAGCGACUGGUUUGUAGGGUUACUACGGCAGCGUUCCGUAAGUCCAAGCACUCUGUAUUGUGCAGGGUUAGGUAGGUAGGUUGUUUACGCGGUUACCAUGGUAGCCUCCGUAAUAAAGUUUCUGACAUUGCUCAGCUGUUUCUGCUCUUGAAAUUAUACUGGCUGGCAUCAGUGAGGAUAAAAGCCGUGGGAAGCCGGUGGUAGGGGGCGUGGUCUGGUCUUCCUUUGGCAUUUUUUUAACACGUGGCGGCAGUGGCGACGUGUGUUUUGUUUGUAAUAACAACCGAUUUCUUUUAGACUUGUUGCCAGGUGGAAGGGGUGUGUGUCUGGGUUUAUACUGAAAUCCAGGUAGGAUUCAUGUAUAUACAUUGUGUAUAUAAUUAUUCUAAAUUCAUGUGUAUCAUGGCUAUGGUAUUAAUUGUGUGCAUAUGUCUUUAAGAGUUGCCAUUACUGUUUUGCCUGUGUAUUUCUGUUACUUUUUUAUUUCCUUAAAGGUUUUGUGUCAAUAAACAUUGCCAAGCCUGGGAUACGACUCUCUGUUAUUUAUGUGUUUUGUAGCUGUGCCUGUGGUCAUCCUGAGGGUAACAGUAAUCAUACAUCUUAACCCUCUGGAGUUGCUGAUCCCAGCAGCGGGAUCUGACAGAAAUUUUGCCAAACCAUUUAAAUAAGUCUGUGACUUUAUGUCAUAUAAAAAUUUAAAAAACACCCUCAGGAACGGCUAACAUAAGACAGAAUACAAUAAGUUAGGAUAGGAACGGCUAAGGUAAGACAGAGUAGGAUGUGGUGGGAUAAGAAUGGCUAAGAUAUGACAGAAUAGGAUAAGGUAAGAUAGGAACGGCUAAGAUAGGAUAGAAUAGGAUAAGGUAGGAAAGAUACGGCUAAAACAGGAUAGAAUAGGAUACGGUAGGAUAGUAAUGGCUAAGAUAUGAUUGAAUAGGAUAAGGUAGGAUAGGAACGUCUAAGAUGUGAUACAAUAAGUUGGGUUGGAAUGGAUAAUAUAAGUUAGAAUAGGAUAAGGUAGGAUAGGAAUGGCUAAGGUAAGAUAGAAUAUGAUGUGGUAGGAUAAGAAUUGGUAAGAUAUGAUAGAAUAAGACAAGGCAGGAUAGGAAUACCUAAGAUAUAAUAGAAUAGGAUAGUGUAGGAUAGGAAUGGCUAUGGUAAGAUAGAAUAGGAUGUGGUAGGUUAAGAAUGGCUAAGAUAUGAUAGAAUAGGACAAGGUAGGAUAUAAAUGCCUAAGAUAUAAUAGAAUACGAUGUGGUAGGAUAGGAAUGGGUAAGAUAGGAUGGAAUAGUAUAAGGUAGAAUAGGAAUGACUAAGAUAUUAUAGGAUAGGAUAAGGUAGGAUAGGAAUGGAUAAAGGUAAGAUAGAAUAGGAGAAGGUAGCAUAGGAAUGCUAAGGUAAGAUAGAAUAGGAUAAGGUAGCAUAGGAACGGCUAAGAUAUGAUGGAAUAAGCUGGUUAGGAAAGAGUAAUAUAAGAUAGAAUAGGAUAAGGUACGAUAGGAACAGCUGAGGUAUGAUAGAAUCGUAUAAGAUAGGAACGGCUAAGAUAGCAUUUGGUAGGAUAGCAACGGGUAAGCUAAGAUAGAAUAGGAUGUAGUAGGAUAAGAAUGGCUAAGAUAUGAUAAUAUAGGAUAAGGUAGUAUAGGAACGGCUAAGAUAUGAGGGAAUAAGCUGGUUUGGAAUGACUAAUAUAAGACAGAAUAAGAUAAGGUAGGAUAGGAAUGGCUAAGGUAUGAUAGAAUAGGAUGUGGUAGCAUAUGAACGGCUAAGAUAUUACAGGAUAGGACAAGGUAGGAUAGGAAUGGAUAAACGUAAGAUAGAAUAGGAGAAGGUAGCAUAGGAAUGGCUAAGGUAAAAUAGAAUAGGAUAAGGUAGCAUAGGAACGGCUAAGAUAUGAUAGAAUAAGCUGGUUAGGAAAGAGUAAUAUAAGAUAGAAUAGGAUAAAGUACGAUUGGAACAGCUGAGGUAUGAUAGAAUUGUAUAAGAUAGGAAGGGCUAAGAUAGCAUUAGGUAGGAUGGCAAUGGGUAAGCUAAGAUAGAAUAGGAUGUGGUAGGUUGAAAAUGGCAAAGAUAUGAUAGGAUAAGGUAGUAUAGGAACGGCUAAUAUAAGAUAGAAUAAGAUAAGGUAGGAUAAAAAUGGCUAAGGUAUAAUAGAAUAGGCCAAGAUAGGAUAGGAUAAGGUAGGAUAGGAAUGGUUAAGGUAAGAUAGGAUAGGAUGUGGUAGGAUAAGAAUGUGUAGGAUUGGAUAAGAUAGGAUAGGAACGGCUAAGAUAUAAAAAAAUAGGAUAAGGUAGGAUAGGAAUGCCAAUUGUAAGAUAGAAUAGCAUGUGGUAGGAUUAGAAUGGGUAAGAUAGAAUGGAAUUGGAUAAGGUAGGAAAGGAAUGGGUAAGAUAUGAUAGAAUAGAAUAAGGUAGGAUAGCAAUGGCUAAAGGUAAGAUAGAAUUGGAUAAGGUAGCAUAUGAACGGCUAAGAUAUUUCAGGAUAGGAUAAGGUACGAUAGGAAUGCCAAUUGUAAGAUAGAAUAGCAUGAGGUAGGAUAAGAAUGGCUAAGAUAUGAUAAUAUAGGAUAAGGUAGUAUAGGAACGGCUAAGAUAUGAGGGAAUAAGCUGGUUUGGAAUGGCUAAUAUAAGACAGAAUAAGAUAAGGUAGGAUAGGAAUGGCUAAGGUAUGAUAGAAUAGGAUGUGGUAGCAUAUGAACGGCUAAGAUAUUACAGGAUAGGACAAGGUAGGAUAGGAAUGGAUAAACGUAAGAUAGAAUAGGAGAAGGUAGCAUAGGAACGGCUAAGAUAUGAUACAAUAAGCUGGUUAGGAAAGAGUAAUAUAAGAUAGGAUAGGAUAAGGUAGGAUAGGAAUGGUUAAGGUAAGAUAGGAUAUGAUGUGGUAGGAUUAGAAUGGGUAAGAUAGGAUGGAAUAGAAUAAGGUAGCAUAUGAACGGCUAAGAUAUGAUAGAAUAGAAUAAGGUAGGAUAGCAAUGGCUAAAGGUAAGAUAGAAUAGGAUAAGGUAGCAUAGGAACGGCUAAGAUAUGAUAGAAUAAGCUGGUUAGGAAAAAGUAAUAUGAGAUAGAAUAGUAUAACGUAGGAUUGGAAUGACUAGGUCAAGAUAGAAUAUGAUGUGGUAGGAUAAGAAUGUGUAAGAUAGGAUAAGGUAGGUUAGGAAUGGCUAAGGUAUGAUAUAAUGGGAUUAGAUAGGAACGGCUAAGAUAGCAUUUGGUAGGACAGCAACGGGUAAGGUAAGAUAGAGUAGGAUGUGGUAGGAUAAGAAUGGCUAAGAUAUGAUAAAAUAGGAUAAGGUAGUAUAGGAACGACUAAGAUAUGAGGGAAUAAGCUGGUUUGGAAAGAGUAAUAUAAGACAGAAUAGGAUAAGGUACGAUAGGAACAGCUGAGGUAUGAUAGAAUCGUAUAAGAUAGGAACGGCUAAGAUAGCAUUAGGUAGGAUAGCAACGGGUAAGCUAAGAUAGAAUAGGAAGUGGUAGGAUGAAAAUGGCAAAGAUAUGAUAGGAUAAGGUGGUAUAGGAACGGCUAAUAUAAGAUUGAAUAAGAUAAGGUAGGAUGAAAAUGGCUAAGGUAUGAUAGAAUAGGCCAAGAUAGGAUAGGAAUGGCUAAUGUAAGAUAGAAUAGGAGAAGGUAGCAUAGGAAUGGCUAAGGUAAGAUAGAAUAGGAUAAGGUAGCAUAGGAACGGCUAAGAUAUGAUAGAAUAAGCUGGUUAGGAAAGAGUAAUAUAAGAUAGAAUAGGAUAAGGUACGAUAGGAACAGCUGAGGUACGAUAGAAUCGUAUAAGAUAGGAACGGCUAAGAUAGAAUUAGGUAGGAUAGCAACGGGUAAGCUAAGAUAGAAUAGAAUGUGGUAGGAUGAAAAUGGCAAAGAUAUGAUAGGAUAAGGUAGUAUAGGAAUGGCUAAUAUAAGAUAGAAUAAGAUAAGGUAGGAUAAAAAUGGCUAAGGUAUGAUAGAAUAGGCCAAGAUAGGAUAGGAAUGGCUAAGGUAAGAUAGAAUAGGAUAAGGUAGUAUAGGAAUGGUUAAGGUAAGAUAGGAUAGGAUGUGGUAGGAUAAGAAUGUGUAGGAUAGGAUAAGAUAGGAUAGGAACGGCUAAGAUAUAAUAGAAUAGGAUAAGGUAGGAUAGGAAUGGUUAAGGUAAGAUAGGAUAGGAUGUUGUAGGAUAAGAAUGUGUAGGAUAGGAUAAGAUAGGAUAGGAACGGCUAAGAUAUAAUAGAAUAGGAUAAGGUAUGAUAGGAAUGCCAAUUUUAAGAUGGAAUAGGAUGUGGUCGGAUAAGAAUGGGUAUGAUAGGAUGGAAUAGAAUAAGGUAGCAUAUGAACGGCUAAGAUAUGAUAGAAUAGAAUAAGGUAGGAUAGCAAUGGCUAAAGGUAAGAUAGAAUAGGAUAAGGUAGCAUAGGAACGGCUAAGAUAUGAUAGAAUAAGCUGGUUAGGAAAGAGUAAUAUGAGAUAGAAUAGUAUAAGGUAGGAUUGGAAUGACUAGGGCAAGAUAGAAUAGGAUGUGGUAGGAUAAGAAUGUGUAAGAUAGGAUAAGGUAGGUUAGGAACGGCUAAGGUAUGAUAUAAUCGGAUAAGAUAGGAACGGCUAAGAUAGCAUUAGGUACGAUAGCAACGGGUAAGGUAAGAUAGAGUAGGAUGUUGUAGGAUAAGAAUGUGUAAGAUAGGAUAAGGUAGGAUAGGAACGGCUAAGAUAUAAUAGAAUAGGAUAAGGUAGGAUAGGAAUGCCAAUUGUAAGAUAGAAUAGGAUAGGUAGGAUUAGAAUGGCUAAGGUAUGAUAGAAUAGGAUGUGGUAGCAUAUGAACGGCUAAGAUAUUAAAGGAUAGGAUAUGGUAGGAUCGGAAUGGAUAAAGGUAAGAUAGAAUAGGAGAAGGUAGCAUAGGAAUGGCUAAGGUAAGAUAGAAUAGGAUAAGGUAGCAUAGGAACGGCUAAGAUAUGAUAGAAUAAGCUGGUUAGGAAAGAGUAAUAUAAGAUAGAAUAGGAUAAGGUACGAUAGGAACAGCUGAGGUACGAUAGAAUCGUAUAAGAUAGGAACGGCUAAGAUAGAAUUAGGUAGGAUAGCAACGGGUAAGCUAAGAUAGAAUAGAAUGUGGUAGGAUGAAAAUGGCAAAGAUAUGAUAGGAUAAGGUAGUAUAGGAAUGGCUAAUAUAAGAUAGAAUAAGAUAAGGUAGGAUAAAAAUGGCUAAGGUAUGAUAGAAUAGGCCAAGAUAGGAUAGGAAUGGCUAAGGUAAGAUAGAAUAGGAUAAGGUAGUAUAGGAAUGGUUAAGGUAAGAUAGGAUAGGAUGUGGUAGGAUAAGAAUGUGUAGGAUAGGAUAAGAUAGGAUAGGAACGGCUAAGAUAUAAUAGAAUAGGAUAAGGUAGGAUAGGAAUGGUUAAGGUAAGAUAGGAUAGGAUGUUGUAGGAUAAGAAUGUGUAGGAUAGGAUAAGAUAGGAUAGGAACGGCUAAGAUAUAAUAGAAUAGGAUAAGGUAUGAUAGGAAUGCCAAUUUUAAGAUGGAAUAGGAUGUGGUCGGAUAAGAAUGGGUAUGAUAGGAUGGAAUAGAAUAAGGUAGCAUAUGAACGGCUAAGAUAUGAUAGAAUAGAAUAAGGUAGGAUAGCAAUGGCUAAAGGUAAGAUAGAAUAGGAUAAGGUAGCAUAGGAACGGCUAAGAUAUGAUAGAAUAAGCUGGUUAGGAAAGAGUAAUAUGAGAUAGAAUAGUAUAAGGUAGGAUUGGAAUGACUAGGGCAAGAUAGAAUAGGAUGUGGUAGGAUAAGAAUGUGUAAGAUAGGAUAAGGUAGGUUAGGAACGGCUAAGGUAUGAUAUAAUCGGAUAAGAUAGGAACGGCUAAGAUAGCAUUAGGUACGAUAGCAACGGGUAAGGUAAGAUAGAGUAGGAUGUUGUAGGAUAAGAAUGUGUAAGAUAGGAUAAGGUAGGAUAGGAACGGCUAAGAUAUAAUAGAAUAGGAUAAGGUAGGAUAGGAAUGCCAAUUGUAAGAUAGAAUAGGAUAGGUAGGAUUAGAAUGGCUAAGGUAUGAUAGAAUAGGAUGUGGUAGCAUAUGAACGGCUAAGAUAUUAAAGGAUAGGAUAUGGUAGGAUCGGAAUGGAUAAAGGUAAGAUAGAAUAGGAGAAGGUAGCAUAGGAAUGGCUAAGGUAAGAUAGAAUAGGAUAAGGUAGCAUAGGAACGGCUAAGAUAUGAUAGAAUAAGCUGGUUAGGAAAGAGUAAUAUAAGAUAGAAUAGGAUAAGGUACGAUAGGAACAGCUGAGGUAUGAUAGAAUCGUAUAAGAUAGGAACGGCUAAGAUAGCAUUAGGUAGGAUAGCAACGGGUAAGCUAAGAUAGAAUAGGAUGUGGUAGGAUGAAAAUGGCAAAGAUAUGAUAGGAUAAGGUAGUAUAGGAAUGGCUAAUAUAAGAUAGAAUAAGAUAAGGUAGGAUAAAAAUGGCUAAGGUAUGAUAGAAUAGGCCAAGAUAGGAUAGGAAUGGCUAAGGUAAGAUAGAAUAGGAUAAGGUAGGAUAGGAAUGGUUAAGGUAAGAUAGGAUAGGAUGUGGUAGGAUAAGAAUGUGUAGGAUAGGAUAAGAUAGGAUAGGAACGGCUAAGAUAUAAUAGAAUAGGAUAAGGUAUGAUAGGAAUGCCAAUUGUAAGAUUGAAUAGGAUGUGGUAGGAUUAGAAUGGGUGAGAUAGGAUGGAAUAGGAUGAGGUAGGAAAGGAACGGGUAAGAUAUGAUAGAAUUGGGUAAGGUAGGAUAGGAAUGGUUAAGGUAAGAUAGAAUAGGAUGUGGUAGGAUAAGAAUGUGUAAGAUAGGAUAAGGUAGGAUAGGAACGGCUAGGAUAUGAUAGAAUAGGAUAAGGUAUGAUAGGAAUGCCAAUUUUAAGAUGGAAUAGGAUGUGGUCGGAUAAGAAUGGGUAUGAUAGGAUGGAAUAGAAUAAGGUAGCAUAUGAACGGCUAAGAUAUGAUAGAAUAGAAUAAGGUAGGAUAGCAAUGGCUAAAGGUAAGAUAGAAUAGGAUAAGGUAGCAUAGGAACGGCUAAGAUAUGAUAGAAUAAGCUGGUUAGGAAAGAGUAAUAUGAGAUAGAAUAGUAUAAGGUAGGAUUGGAAUGACUAGGGCAAGAUAGAAUAGGAUGUGGUAGGAUAAGAAUGUGUAAGAUAGGAUAAGGUAGGUUAGGAACGGCUAAGGUAUGAUAUAAUCGGAUUAGAUAGGAACGGCUAAGAUAGCAUUAGGUACGAUAGCAACGGGUAAGCUAAGAUAGAAUAGGAUUUGCUAGGAUGAAAAUGGCAAAGACAUGAUAGGAUAAGGUAGUAUAGGAACGGCUAAUAUGAGAUAGAAUAAGAUAAGGUAGGAUAAAAAUGGCAAAGGUAUGAUAGAAUAGGCCAAGAUAGGAUAGGAAUGGCUAAGGUAAGAUAGAAUAGGAUAAGGUAGGAUAGGAAUGGUUAAGGUAAGAUAGGAUAGGAUGUUGUAGGAUAAGAAUGCAUAAGAUAGGAUAAGGUAGGAUAGGAACGGCUAAGAUAUAAUAGAAUAGGAUAAGGUAGGAUAGGAAUGCCAAUUGUAAGAUAGAGUAGGAUGUGGUAGGAUAAGAAUGGCUAAGAUAUGAUAAAAUAGGAUAAGGUAGAAUAGGAACGGCUAAGAUAUGAGGGAAUAAGCUGGUUUGGAACGGCUAAUAUAAGACAGAAUAAGAUAAGGUUGGAUAGGAAUGGUUAAGGUAAGAUAGGAUAGGAUGUUGUAGGAUAAGAAUGCGUAAGAUAGGAUAAGGUAGGAUAGGAACGGCUAAGAUAUAAUAGAAUAGGAUAAGGUAGGAUAGGAAUGCCAAUUGUAAGAUAGAAUAGGAUGUGGUAGGAUUAGAAUGGCUAAGGUAUGAUACAAUAGGAUGUGGUAGCAUAUGAACGGCUAAGAUAUUAAAGGAUAGGAUAUGGUAGGAUCGGAAUGGAUAAAGGUAAGAUAGAAUAGGAGAAGGUAGCAUAGGAAUGGCUAAGGUAAGAUAGAAUAGGAUAAGGUAGCAUAGGAACGGCUAAGAUAUGAUAGAAUAAGCUGGUUAGGAAAGAGUAAUAUAAGAUAGAAUAGGAUAAGGUACGAUAGGAACAGCUGCGGUAUGAUAGAAUCGUAUAAGAUAGGAACGGCUAAGACAGCAUUAGGUAGGAUAGUAACGGGUAAGCUAAGAUUGAAUAGGAUAUGGUAGGAUGAAAAUGUCCAAGAUAUGAUAGGAUAAGGUAGUAUAGGAACGGCUAAUAUAAGAUAGAAUAGGAUAAGAUAGGAUAAAAAUGGCUAAGGUAUGAUAGAAUAGGCCAAGAUAGGAUAGGAAUGGCUAAGGUAAGAUAGAAUAGGAUAAGGUAGGAUAGGAAUGGUUAAGGUAAGAUAGGAUAGGAUGUUGUAGGAUAAGAAUGCAUAAGAUAGGAUAAGGUAGGAUAGGAACGGCUAAGAUAUAAUAGAAUAGGAUAAGGUAUGAUAGGAAUGCCAAUUGUACGAUAGAAUAGGAUGUGGUAGGAUUAGAAUGGGUAAGAUAGGAUGGAAUAGGAUGAGGUAGGAAAAGAACGGGUAAGAUAUGAUAGAAUAGGGUAAGGUAGGAUAGGAAUGGUUAAGGUAAGAUAGAAUAGGAUGUGGUAGGAUAAGAAUGUGUAAGAUAGGAUAAGGUAGGAUAGGAACGGCUAAGAUAUGAUAGAAUAGGAUAAGGCAGGAUAGGAAUGCCAAUUGUAAGAUAGAAUAGCAUGUGGUAGGAUUAGAAUGGGUAAGGUAGGAUGGAAUAGAAUAAGGUAGCAUAUGAACGGCUAAGAUUUGAUAGAAUAGAAUAAGGUAGGAUAGCAAUGGCUAAAGGUAAGAUAGAAUAGGAUAAGGUAGCAUAGGAACGGCUAAGAUAUGAUAGAAUAAGCUGGUUAGGAAAGAGUAAUAUGAGAUAGAAUAGUAUAAGUUAGGAUUGGAAUGACUAGGGCAAGAUAGAAUAGGAUGUGGUAGCAUAUGAACGGCUAAGAUAUUAUAGGAUUGGAUAAGGUAGGAUAGGAAUGGAUAAAAGUAAGAUAGAAUAGGAGAAGGUAGCAUAGGAAUGGCUAAGGUAAGAUAGAAUAGGAUAAGGUAGCAUAGGAACGGCUAAGAUAUGAUAGAAUAAGCUGGUUAGGAAAGAGUAAUAUAAGAUAGAAUAGGAUAAGGUACGAUAGGAACAGCUGCGGUAUGAUAGAAUCGUAUAAGAUAGGAACGGCUAAGACAGCAUUAGGUAGGAUAGUAACGGGUAAGCUAAGAUUGAAUAGGAUAUGGUAGGAUGAAAAUGUCCAAGAUAUGAUAGGAUAAGGUAGUAUAGGAACGGCUAAUAUAAGAUAGAAUAGGAUAAGAUAGGAUAAAAAUGGCUAAGGUAUGAUAGAAUAGGCCAAGAUAGGAUAGGAAUGGCUAAGGUAAGAUAGAAUAGGAUAAGGUAGGAUAGGAAUGGUUAAGGUAAGAUACGAUAGGAUGUUGUAGGAUAAGAAUGUGUAGGAUAGGAUAAGAUAGGAUAGGAACGGCUAAGAUAUAAUAGAAUAGGAUAAGGUAUGAUAGGAAUGCCAAUUGUACGAUAGAAUAGGAUGUGGUAGGAUUAGAAUGGGUAAGAUAGGAUGGAAUAGGAUGAGGUAGGAAAAGAACGGGUAAGAUAUGAUAGAAUAGGGUAAGGUAGGAUAGGAAUGGUUAAGGUAAGAUAGAAUAGGAUGUGGUAGGAUAAGAAUGUGUAAGAUAGGAUAAGGUAGGAUAGGAACGGCUAAGAUAUGAUAGAAUAGGAUAAGGCAGGAUAGGAAUGCCAAUUGUAAGAUAGAAUAGCAUGUGGUAGGAUUAGAAUGGGUAAGGUAGGAUGGAAUAGAAUAAGGUAGCAUAUGAACGGCUAAGAUUUGAUAGAAUAGAAUAAGGUAGGAUAGCAAUGGCUAAAGGUAAGAUAGAAUAGGAUAAGGUAGCAUAGGAACGGCUAAGAUAUGAUAGAAUAAGCUGGUUAGGAAAGAGUAAUAUGAGAUAGAAUAGUAUAAGUUAGGAUUGGAAUGACUAGGGCAAGAUAGAAUAGGAUGUGGUAGCAUAUGAACGGCUAAGAUAUUAUAGGAUAGGAUAAGGUAGGAUAGGAAUGGAUAAAAGUAAGAUAGAAUAGGAGAAGGUAGCAUAGGAAUGGCUAAGGUAAGAUAGAAUAGGAUAAGGUAGGAUAGGAAUGGUUAAGGUAAGAUAGGAUAGGAUGUUGUAGGAUAAGAAUGUGUAGGAUAGGAUAAGAUAGGAUAGGAACGGCUAAGAUAUAAUAGAAUAGGAUAAGGUAGGAUAGAAAUGCCAAUUGUAAGAUAGAAUAGGAUGUGGUAGGAUUAGAAUGGUUAAGAUAGGAUAAGGUAGGAUAGGAACGGCUAAGAUAUGAUAGAAUAGGAUAAGGUAGGAUAGGAAUGCCAAUUGUGGGAUAGAAUAGGAUGUGGUACGAUUAGAAUGGGUAAGAUAGGAUGGAAUAGAAAAAGUUAGCAUAUGAACGGCUAAGUUAUGAUAGAAUAGAAUAACGUAGGAUAGAAAUGGCUAAAGGUAAGAUAGAAUAGGAUAUGGUAGCAUUGGAACGGCUAAGAUAUGAUAGAAUAAGCUGGUUAGGAAAGAGUAAUAUGAGAUUGAAUAGUAUAAGGUAGGAUUGGAAUGACUAGGGCAAGAUAGAAUAGGAUGUGGUAGGAUAAGAAUGUGUAAGAUAGGAUAAGGCAGGUUAGGAACGGCUAAGGUAUGAUAUAAUUGGAUAAGAUAGGAACGGCUAAGAUAGCAUUAGGUAGGAUAGUAACGGGUAAGGUAAGAUAGAGUAGGAUGUGGUAGGAUAAGAAUGGCUAAGAUUUGAUAAAAUAGGAUAAGGUAGUAUAGGAACGGUUAAGAUAUGAUGGAAUAAGCUGGUUUGGAACGGCUAAUAUAAGACAGAAUAUGAUAAGGUAGGAUAGGAAUGGCUAAGGUAUGAUAGAAUAGGAUGUGGUAGCAUAUGAACGGCUAAGAUAUUAUAGGAUAGGAUAAGGUAGGAUAGGAAUGGAUAAAGGUAAGAUAGAAUAGGAGAAGGUAGCAUAGGAAUGGCUACGGUAAGAUAGAAUAGGAUAAGGUAGCAUAGGAACGGCUAAGAUAUGAUAGAAUAAGCUGGUUAGGAAAGAGUAAUGUAAGAUAGAAUAGGAUAAGGUACGAUAGGAACAGCUGAGGUAUGAUAGAAUCGUAUAAGAUAGGAACGGCUAAGAUAGCAUUUGGUAGGAUAGCAACGGGUAUGCUAAGAUAGAAUAGGAUUUGGUAGGAUGAAAAUGGCAAAGAUAUGAUAGGAUAAGGUAGUAUAGGAACGGCUAAUAUAAGAUAGAAUAAGAUAAGGUAGGAUAAAAAUGGCUAAGGUAUGAUAGAAUAGUCCAAGAUAGGAUAGGAAUGGCUAAGGUAAGAUAGAAUAGGAUAAUGUUGGAUAUGAAUGGUUAAGGUAAGAUAGGAUAGGAUGUGGUAGGAUAAGAAUGUGUAGGAUAGGAUAAGAUAGGAUAGGAACGGCUAAGAUAUAAUAGAAUAGGAUAAGGUAGGAUAGGAAUGCCAAUUGUAAGAUAGAAUAGGAUGUGGUAGGAUUAGAAUGGGUAAGAUAGGAUAAGGUAGGAUAGGAACGGCUAAGAUAUGAUAGAAUAGAAUAAGGUAGGAUAGCAAUGGCUAAAGGUAAGAUAGAAUAGGAUAAGGUAGCAUAGGAACGGCUAAGAUAUGAUAGAAUAUGCUGGUUAGGAAAGAGUAAUUUAAGAUAGAAUAGUAUAAGGUAGGAUUGGAAUGACUAGGGCAAGAUAGAAUAGGAUGUGGUAGGAUAAGAAUGUGUAAGAUAGGAUAAGGUAGGUUAGGAACGGCUAAGGUAUGAUAUAAUCGGAUUAGAUAGGAACGGCUAAGAUAGCAUUAGGUACGAUAGCAACGGGUAAGCUAAGAUAGAAUAGGAUGUGGUAGGAUGAAAAUGGCAAAGAUAUGAUAGGAUAAGGUAGUAUAGGAACGGCUAAUAUGAGAUAGAAUAAGAUAAGGUAGGAUAAAAAUGGCUAAGGUAUGAUAGAAUAGGCCAAGAUAGGAUAGGAAUGGCUAAGGUAAGAUAGAAUAGGAUAAGUUAGGAUAGGAAUGGUUAAGGUAAAUUAGGAUUGGAUGUUGUAGGAUAAGAAUGUGUAGGAUAGGAUAAGAUAGGAUAGGAACGGCUAAGAUAUAAUAGAAUAGGAUAAGGUAUGAUAGGAAUGCCAAUUUUAAGAUAGAAUAGGAUGUGGUAGGAUUAGAAUGGGUAAGAUAGGAUGGAAUAGGAUGAGGUAGGAAAGGAACGGGUAAGAUAUGAUAGAAUAGGGUAAGGUAGGACAGGAAUGGUUAAGGUAAGAUGGAAUAGGAUGUGGUCGGAUAAGAAUGUGUAAGAUAGGAUAAGGUAGGAUAGGAACGGCUAAGAAAUGAUAGAAUAGGAUAAGGUAGGAUAGGAAUGCCAAUUGUAAGAUAGAAUAGCAUGUGGUAGGAUUAGAAUGGGUAAGAUAGGAUGGAAUAGAAAAAGUUAGCAUAUGAACUGAAGUUGAUGAUGUGCAUUACUACUAAUCCUGCUGACCUUUCUCUCCUGCAGACAGAGGCAACGCCGGAGGAAAAAGGACACUGGAAACGGAAAGCUGGAGUGUUGGGGAGUGAUGGGGACUGGAGGGAACAAACAACUAACCUUCCUUUCCUCCCAAAGUCUGCCUUUCCAGGACUGGCAAAGGUGGCCCAUGGAUUGGACCAUGCCUCACGCGAUGCAAUGGUUCAGUUGGUCCAGAGACACUGGGCCGCCCCUUCAUUCACGGCUUAUGCUCAAACUUUCGUUUCCAGGUGUUCCACAUGUAUGACUCACAACAUGGGUCGUGCAUUGAAGCCACCAACUGCCACAACUCCUCCAGCUGAGGGUCCUUUCCAACAUUUGCAGAUGGAUUUCAUAGAACUAACACCCUGUAGAGGUUAUCGUUAUUGUCUGGUGGUUGUUGAUCUCUUUUCCAGAUGGGUGGAAGCCUUCCCGGCCAAGCAAGCAACGGCCCAGAUAGUUGCGAAAAAUCUGUUAAAAGAGAUAACCCCACGAUGGGGUGUUCCAGCCCGCAUUA